CAGUCGCCGCGGUAAUACGUAGGUGGCAAGCGUUGUCCGGAUUUAUUGGGCGUAAAGCGAGCGCAGGCGGUCAAUUAAGUCUGAUGUGAAAGCCCACGGCUCAACCGUGGAGGGUCAUUGGAAACUGUUUAACUUGAGUGCAAGAGGGGAGAGUGGAAUUCCAUGUGUAGCGGUGAAAUGCGUAGAUAUAUGGAGGAACACCGGUGGCGAGAGCGGCUCUCUGGCUUGUAACUGACGCUGAGGCUCGAAAGCGUGGGGAGCAAACAGGAUUAGAUACCCCCGUAGUCCCUGUCUCUUAUAC
rnacentral:rRNA from 1 species